UUUUUAUUAUUAUUUCAGGGUUACAAUGUUUAUUGUUGGACCAAUAGGAUUUCUUGGUGUUGUGCAGAACGUUAAUGGUCAACGAAAAGAAAGAAUGUACUAUAAAAGAGUCUUACAACAAGAAGAAAGACAAAAAGAAUUGGAAGGACAGAGAUGAAAGAUUAUGGCUGACAAUGUAUUAUUUUGAUAUUAUGACUGGAAAAUGUGGAAGGAUGAAUGAAUGGAUAAUAAUUUAUUGUGAAAAAAAAACAUGACAAAUUUCGACUUGAAUCACUUUAUAGUGUUGUAUAUAUAUGUCAUCGUAUGUUUUUUG
rnacentral:lncRNA from 1 species